GGCAACGUGGCGGAGUGGUUAACGCGCUGCCCUGCUAUAUCCGAUCCCUUCCCGUUCGGCUUGUAAGGCAGUUCCUUCGGGAGCGUAGGUUCGAAUCCUGCCGUUGUCG